AUUGAACGCUGGCGGCAGGCCUAACACAUGCAAGUCGAGCGAGCGGCGGACGGGUGAGUAAUGUCUGGGAAACUGCCUGAUGGUGGGGGAUAACUACUGGAAACGGUAGCCAAUACCGCAUACCAUCAGAUGCGCCCAGAUGGGGUUAGCUAGUCGGUGGGGUAACGGCUCACCUAGGCGCCGAUCCCUAGCUGGUCUGAGAGGUUGACCAGCCACACUGGAACUGAGACACGGUCCAGACUCCUACGGGAGGCAGCAGUGGGGAAUGUUGCACAAUGGGCGCAAGCCUGAUGCAGCCAUGCCGCGUGUGUGAAGAAGGCCUUCGGGUUGUAAAGCACUUUCAGCGGGGAGGCGUUACCCGCAGAAGAAGCACCGGCUAACUCCGUGCCAGCAGCCGCGGUAAUUC
rnacentral:rRNA from 1 species